rnacentral:rRNA from 1 species
GCCUACCAUGGUGGUAACGGGUAACGGGGUGUUAGGGCACGACACCGGAGAGGGAGCCUGAGAAACGGCUACCACAUCCAAGGAUGGCAGCAGGCGCGCAAAUUACCCAAUCCCGACACGGGGAGGUAGUGACAAUAAAUAACAAUACGGGGUUCUAUAGGAUUUCGUAAUUGGAAUGAGUACAAUUUAAAUCUCUUAACGAUCAACAAUUGGAGGGCAAGUCCGGUGCCAGCAGCCGCGGUAAUUCCAGCUCCAAUAGCGUAUAUUAAAGUUGUUGCAGUUAAAAAGCUCGUAGUUGAAUUUCGGGGUUAGUAGGUUGGUCAUGCCUCUGGUAUGUACCGAUCUCACUGAUUCCUCCCUCUUGACGAACUGUAAUGUCAUUAAUUUGGUGUUGCAGGAAAUCAGGACUGUUACUUUGAAAAAAUUAGAGUGUUUAAAGCGGGCUUUUGCUUGAAUAGACUAGCAUGGAAUAAUAGAAUAGGACGUUGGUUCUAUUUUGUUGGUCUAGGACCACCGUAAUGAUUAAUAGGGAUAGUUGGGGGCAUUAGUAUUCAAUUGUCAGAGGUGAAAUUCUUGGAUUUAUUGAAGACUAACUACUGCGAAAGCAUUUGCCAAGGAUGUUUUCAUUAAUCAAGAACGAAAGUUAGGGGAUCGAAGACGAUCAGAUACCGUCGUA